rnacentral:rRNA from 1 species
GCCAGCAGCCACAUCAGCCUGCAUCUCCCGGCUGGCAACCCACUGAAGCUCAGCGGGUGUGAGCCUAGCCAGUGCCUGGAUGGGAGACCUACUGGGAAACACUAAGGUUGCUGCUGGAA